AUGUCAUUGUUCACUAUUCUAGUCAAUGUCCACUUGUCACUUUAACGAUCUCCAAAUCGACGAUCGGCACCGUUGAACAUGAUCUAUACCAUUUGAAGUAUUUAAAAACUAAAUUUUAAAUCUUUUUGGCAUCAUUAACCUAAUGAUGAAAGGGUUUUAAAAUUUAUAAUUUUAAUGAUCAAUAUAAGGCGUUUUCUCGUUUAACAGUGUAAAGAUAUCCAAAUCAAUUGAAUUUUGGGUAGAAAAUUUUUUAAACUAUUUAGAAAAAAAUCUAUACUCUCGAUCUUGAUUACAAGAUUCCUAUCAUCACUUUUUAAACGAUAUUCAUUUUCAGCCGUUCAUUUUGUGUCCACUUGAUGGACAAAAGAAUAACAUCGAAAAAGUAUGAAAUUUGAUUUCUAAAUGCUUCCAGUGGUAUAGAUCAUGUUCAAUAGUGCCGAUCGUUGAUUUGGAGGCUCCAUAAUAAAAAACAAAUGGCCGGCAACGGAGUCCGUUUACUACCGAUAACAUUCUAGCUCAACUCUCUCUCUCUCUCCUCUCUCUCUCACUCUCUAUAAAUAUAAUCAGCUAUACUAUUUCAACCAACACGGUUCAAAUUAAAAUGAAUCAUCUCAAAGCUUCGUAAUGAUCGAAUUUGAAACAUUAGCUUUGACAAAAAAUUUAGAUACUAAAGAUUUUUUUUAGACCAAUCGUCUCUAACAUAAGUGGCAAAAAUUUGAUAGUCGGUAUGCGAGAUCCCAGGUUUGAAACAUAGUUACUCGACAUUUUCAGCGGUACGCUAUCUUUCUUCAUUAAAAAAAAAAAAAAAAAAUCUUUUUAGCCCUACUGUAGAGUGUGUUAUUACUUAAUCUUAAAAGUAUUAUACGAAUAGUACUUUGGAGAUCAAAA
rnacentral:lncRNA from 1 species